GAAGCAGGUAUUAUGGAUCUGAUCUGAAGCAGGUAUUAUGGAUCUGAUCUGAAGCAUGUAUUAUGGAUCUGAUCUGAAGCAGGUAUUAUGGAUCUGAUUUGAAGCAGGUAUUAUGCAUCUGAUUUGAAGCAGGUAUUAUGGAUCUGAUCUGAAGCAGGUAUUAUGGAUCUGAUCUGAAGCAGGUUUUGUGGAUCUGAUUUGAAGCAGGUAUUAUGGAUCUGAUCUGAAGCAGGUAUUAUGGAUCUGAUUUGAUGCAGGUAUUAUGGAUCUAAUUCGAUCCUUAGCACGGCUUGGAUUUUGGAUCUUAGAGGAGGGAAGGCUGGGAA
ensembl:lncRNA